GUGUCUGUCUGUCUUAAAGCUGUAACGUACAUAAGAAUGCUUGACUAUGAGUCCCAGAACUUCCGGCAGCCGGACAGGCGGAACAUCGCGGCUAGGGGGGAAGAAGUCAAUGCUUUUUCUGUACCUGACUUCCACUCCCCCCCCCGAUUUUUUGCAUUGGAACUGCCCUAACAGUCGUUCCCCAUUAGCCCUUCUCCUUUCGUGGAAGAAAUAGCGGUGAAUCCUUUUUUGAAAGACAAAAUCAAAACCUGAUUUGGGAUGUGCGUAUGUGAUAUUAUGCACUCGCACACACGCGGACCAACAACCACUAACAUCUUGAAAACAAAGUGAGGUGUGAGUGGAAAGAGAUUGUUAAAUUUUAAUCCCUGAUGAUAACAAAUGCUGGAUAAGACUACAGUCUCUUUGAGUCUGCCCCAAAUUGGGACUCACUUCUAUGUCGACACAUGUAAAACGGCACAUCGUUUUAUGCUGUCCUUCCAAGAUUUGUUGCUGGCCUUUCUUAAAUUCCUUGUCCUGAAAGCCAUUUUUAGUCACCAUUUGCAUUUUUUCCCUACAAUGAUAGAGAAUUAAGACUCUUAGUUUUCUUAAUAAUCCACUCUUGCAUCUUCUUGCAGUAUGGGGACAACGUUACAAGGGGAUGAACUGAAAAUACAACUGUAGCAAUACUGGGCUUGACAGGAGAACGAACUAUACUAUGUGGUUGCUCUCCAUCAGCCUGUAGAAUUAUAUAUACAUCUGCCUCCUUGGAAGAUAGACAUAAUUUUGCAUACAUUUCACUGUUAUAUCAUUCAGUUUUAAGCACAUUUUAAUCACAGGUAGUUCCUGCUAUGUGUACUUGUUCCACCACAAGUUGGACAGCUUUUAACAUUUUCAUCCAUCAAAGUUCACAGGGUGCCUAUAGGCUAGUCUCUUAGUUCAUUCUACCCUGCAGUUAAGAGCCUUCACCAGGGUAACACAAGUCAAAAAAGGGCAGCAUUUUGAUUGCAUUGUCAUGUCCACCUCCUUGACUUUUAUUAUUUUGUGUCAUGGAUGCCCUUGCUGACAAGGAAGUUGUGGAGAAAAAUUGAAGGAGACAAUGGUUAGAUAGCCUGCCAUAAGCUCCUAAAGAAAAGGUGAGGUUUAUGUUUAGUAAAUGCAUAAAAAUUGACAUUAUUAUAAAGUUAAGGUUAGCAGAAAAAAUUGCAUUAAUCAAGGAUCAUCCUGAGCAAGAUAGAAGUUGAAAGAAAGAAUAUAUCAUCUGUUUGACAUCGUAAAUGGAAGUUUUGUGACAUAGCCAUCAUUGCAACCACUCUGGAACAGUCCCUGCAAGUGCAACAUGUUUUCAAAUUUCUAGAUGUAACUUCCACUCCCAAAAUGUUGUCUCCACCAGCUGAAAUCCUGAACAGGAAAUUCAUUCUGCAGAAAUGAACCAAGUAAGGAUUUAAAACAAUGUCUAGCAGCUGUGAGGCUAGAGAUUUAUCCUGGUUGCUCUCAGACUAUUAGUUGACUGUACAUAGGUCCUAGUGCCUUUUCACUUUUCUCUGCUUAUUUUUUUUAAAUGAAAUAAUUAUCAAACUAUCAUCUUAGCUUCCACAUUUCUUUCAAUUAUACGGUGUAAUGUUAGUUGUGGUUUUAUGUUACCACUUUAUUCUACUGCACCAAAAGGAAUAGGACUUCCGUCAAUGCUUUUCUUUUUCUUUUUUCCUUUACCCUACACUUUUCCUCCCUAAUUUUCCCAUUAUAUUCAUUUUUCUUUGUAUCUAUGGAGAUUCUCAAUCAUCCAGGUCACGGUUGUCCUAACGGUGUUUUUUCAAGAGGCAGCUGCACUUUCGUGUUUUCCUUUGAAGAUGUUUUGCUUCUCAUGCAAGAAGCUUCUUCAGCUGAUAGAGUAUUUUAUUUUUGGUAAAACUAUUAAAAUACUAAAAAUAAU